rnacentral:rRNA from 1 species
UACGUAGGGUGCAAGCGUUAAUUGGAAUUACUGGGCGUAAAGCGUGCGCAGGCGGCUUUGCAAGACAGAUGUGAAAUCCCCGGGCUUAACCUGGGAACUGCAUUUGUGACUGCAUGGCUGGAGUGCGGCAGAGGGGGAUGGAAUUCCGCGUGUAGCAGUGAAAUGCGUAGAUAUCAGGAGGAACACCGGUGGCGAAGGCGGCUACCUGGACAGAAACUGACGCUGAGGCGCGAAAGCUAGGGGAGCAAACAGG